AUUGAACGCUGGCGGCAGGCUUAACACAUGCAAGUCGAGCGGAGAUGAGGUGCUUGCACCUUAUCUUAGCGGCGGACGGGUGAGUAAUGCUUAGGAAUCUGCCUAUUAGUGGGGGACAACAUUCCGAAAGGAAUGCUAAUACCGCAUACGUCCUACGGGAGAAAGCAGGGGAUCUUCGGACCUUGCGCUAAUAGAUGAGCCUAAGUCGGAUUAGCUAGUUGGUGGGGUAAAGGCCUACCAAAGCGACGAUCUGUAGCGGGUCUGAGGGGAUGAUCCGCCACACUGGGACUGAGACACGGCCCAGACUCCUACGGGAGGCAGCAGUGGGGAAUAUUGGACAAUGGGGGGAACCCUGAUCCAGCCAUGCCGCGUGUGUGAAGAAGGCCUUAUGGUUGUAAAGCACUUUAAGCGAGGAGGAGGCUACUGAGACUAAUACUCUUGGAUAGUGGACGUUACUCGCAGAAUAAGCACCGGCUAACUCUGUGCCAGCCGCCGCGGUAA
rnacentral:rRNA from 1 species